UGUGGGUUAGGGUUAGAGAGCUUUAAGACAUAAUAGGCUGCUGGCUGUGUUGUUGCACUUGCUUGAUGUUUGGCUGUGUUAGCAAAGUUGUCGACUCGCUAGUUUUUGAUCAUAAGUCAUUUUAAAAAAUGCAUGUGUACCGCUGUCCAUAUUCAUGACAGCAGUGUAUGAGUGAAUUGUACUCUGAACCUUGGGGCACAAAAUUGCAAUAAUUCUUACACAAGCUCAAUAAACACAGUAUAACAAUAUUUGACUGGAACUUUCCCCAUCUGUCUGGGACAUUGAAAUCUUCUAGAAGGCAUGGACUGGUAUCACCUUUAUCAGUAGAUUGUUAGAAAGUACCUGGUGAAGAAAGUGGAACAUCUAGCAGCUAAAGAGCCAAACAUUUUGUACAGGAGUAAGUGGAGACCAAACCAGAGUACCAAGGACUUACCAUCAUCAGGAAAAGUCAAGAAUUCUACAUGCAGAAGCCUAAUUCCAGUUUUGGUUCCAGAGACUGUUCCAAUUUUGUGCAGCAUUCAUUCAGAAUAAACACUAGUUGUUGUUAGUAGCAAUGUUAUUUCUUACUGUGCAUUAAGAUGAAGACAUGUCUGUGUGAGAUGGAAGGGAUGUGGUUGUAUCAUUGGGCUUUAUGAAUCUGCUUUGGAAAAAGGAGAAAUGCUGGAUGCAUAUAACAGAUGGAGCAGUCAGAGGCUGAGCGAAACACAAACACAGGCACACUACCACAGUUGGUUCAGUGGCUGCUAGCUUGACUGACAAUGGCAUCUAGCCGUGUAAUUGUAGAUUGCAACUCACUUGUGUCACCCUCCCUUUCCAACUGCGAGGGAGAAACUACAAACUACUGUAGAGACAUGGCGGUUCAACUGAAGCCGUUCUGCAUCUGUAGACAGAAACAGCUCAUUCUAAGGAUGGCUGCAGUGAAACUCUGAUCUAAUCCUGUCGCAUUUAACUCCACUUGAACACAGGUAGAUACAAUUUCUGCUUUUCUGGGGUUUAAUGUGUGUUAGUUAAUAAGUAAUAUGUUAUUUAACAGAUACAUGUUAGUUAAUAAUUACUAAGACCAAAAAGAUGCUUCAGAUGCUUUUUAAAAUGUGCAGAUUGGAGAGUUUGGCCCUAAAACUGUAUGUGGUUCAGAAUGUGAGUUCAAAAACUAGCCUCUUG
rnacentral:lncRNA from 1 species